AUUGAACGCUGGCGGCAUGCUUUACACAUGCAAGUCGAACGGUAACAGGCCGCAAGGUGCUGACGAGUGGCGAACGGGUGAGUAAUGCAUCGGAACGUGCCCAGUCGUGGGGGAUAACUACUCGAAAGAGUAGCUAAUACCGCAUACGAUCUAUGGAUGAAAGCGGGGGACCGUAAGGCCUCGCGCGAUUGGAGCGGCCGAUGUCAGAUUAGGUAGUUGGUGGGGUAAAGGCUCACCAAGCCAACGAUCUGUAGCUGGUCUGAGAGGACGACCAGCCACACUGGGACUGAGACACGGCCCAGACUCCUACGGGAGGCAGCAGUGGGGAAUUUUGGACAAUGGGCGCAAGCCUGAUCCAGCAAUGCCGCGUGCAGGAAGAAGGCCUUCGGGUUGUAAACUGCUUUUGUACGGAACGAAACGGCUCUGGUUAAUACCCGGGGCUAAUGACGGUACCGUAAGAAUAAGCACCGGCUAACUACGCG
rnacentral:rRNA from 1 species